AUGAACGCUGGCGGCGUGCUUAACACAUGCAAGUCGAACGGGGUGGCAACGACAGAGGCUUCGGCCAAUUGAAUUGUUUACCUAGUGGCGGACGGGUGAGUAACGCGUGAGGAACCUGCCUUUGAGAGGGGAAUAACGGCUGGAAACGGUCGCUAAUACCGCAUAAAGCAUUUGAGUCGCAUGGCUCUGAAUGCCAAAGAUUUAUCGCUCUUAGAUGGCCUCGCGUCUGAUUAGCUAGUUGGUGAGGUAACGGCCCACCAAGGCGACGAUCAGUAGCCGGACUGAGAGGUUGGCCGGCCACAUUGGGACUGAGACACGGCCCAGACUCCUACGGGAGGCAGCAGUGGGGAAUAUUGGGCAAUGGGCGCAAGCCUGACCCAGCAACGCCGCGUGAAGGAAGAAGGCUUUCGGGUUGUAAACUUCUUUUAUCAGGGACGAUAAUGACGGUACCUGAUGAAUAAGCUCCGGCUAACUACGUGCCAGCAGCCGCGGUAAUACGUAGGGAGCAAGCGUUAUCCGGAUUUACUGGGUGUAAAGGGCGUGUAGGCGGGACAGCAAGUCAGAUGUGAAAACUAUGGGCUCAACCCAUAGCCUGCAUUUGAAACUGUUGUUCUUGAGUGGUGGAGAGGCAUACGGAAUUCCUAGUGUAGCGGUGAAAUGCGUAGAUAUUAGGAAGAACACCAGUGGCGAAGGCGGUAUGCUGGACACUAACUGACGCUGAGGCGCGAAAGCGUGGGGAGCAAACAGGAUUAGAUACCCUGGUAGUCCACGCCGUAAACGAUGGAUACUAGGUGUGGGGGGACUGACCCCCUCCGUGCCGCAGUUAACACAAUAAGUAUCCCACCUGGGGAGUACGAUCGCAAGGUUGAAACUCAAAGGAAUUGACGGGGGCCCGCACAAGCGGUGGAGUAUGUGGUUUAAUUCGAAGCAACGCGAAGAACCUACCAGGUCUUGACAUCCCGAUGACCGGUCUAGAGAUAGGCCUUCUCUUCGGAGCAUCGGUGACAGGUGGUGCAUGGUUGUCGUCAGCUCGUGUCGUGAGAUGUUGGGUUAAGUCCCGCAACGAGCGCAACCCUUAUUGUUAGUUGCUACGCAAGAGCACUCUAGCGAGACUGCCGUUGACAAAACGGAGGAAGGUGGGGACGACGUCAAAUCAUCAUGCCCCUUAUGACCUGGGCCACACACGUACUACAAUGGCGGUCAACAGAGGGAAGCAAAGCCGCGAGGUGGAGCAAAUCCCUAAAAGCCGUCCCAGUUCGGAUUGCAGGCUGCAACCCGCCUGCAUGAAGUCGGAAUCGCUAGUAAUCGCGGAUCAGCAUGCCGCGGUGAAUACGUUCCCGGGCCUUGUACACACCGCCCGUCACACCAUGAGAGUCGGGAACACCCGAAGUCCGUAGCCUAACCGCAAGGGGGGCGCGGCCGAAGGUGGGUUCGAUAAUUGGGGUG
rnacentral:rRNA from 1 species